UCGGUUGUCUGUGUGUCGGUUGUCUGUUUUUCACACGCGCUGUGUGUCCGCUACUGGCGUCUGAGCUGCUGGUUUGUCUCCUGCAUUUCCUUCAAUACAAGUCGGAUUAUGUACGAGACUAGAUGUCAGGACUGUACGUCAAGUCCCUCACUCGCUCCUCAGAGAGUGAGUCCUCUCUGUUCUUGUGGGCCAAAGGCAGAGGGACGGGUUUCGACACCUGUCCCACUCAACUUUAAAGUCACAAGACUGAAGUUGCUCUGUGGAUGGAGAGAACAUCAUCCAGCAGCUGGACCGACUCCUGCCAGCUGGGAAAUGUCGCUGCCCUGGCCCGCAAGCACAGACAUUUACCAUCAUCACCCAAAAACAUUUCCUAGCACUCUCAGAAAGUUGGGUUUCCUCACACGCUGCGUCACAUGACACGAACACAUGCACAAGCUCUUGUAGAAAUGUUGGUGGAACAUAAAAAAAAAAAAAAAAAUAUCUGGGGAAUUGAGGCAGUUACAUGCAGAAGUGAUGUCAAAUGGAGCUGCUGAAGCCCAGCUUCAUAAUUCUAAUUUAAGGCUUCAGGAUUUUAUACAGGUUGCAUAGAUGUUUAAUAAAAUCCUCCAAAAUCAGA